rnacentral:rRNA from 1 species
UACGAAGGGGGCGAGCGUUAUUCGGAAUCACUGGGCGUAAAGCGUGCGUAGGCUGUUUUGUAAGUCGGAAGUGAAAGCCCAGGGCUCAACCUUGGAAUUGCUUUCGAGACUGCAAGACUAGAGUCCGGGAGAGGAUAGCGGAAUUUCCAGUGUAGUAGUGAAAUACGUAGAUAUUGGAAGGAACACCAGUGGCGUAAGCGGCUAUCUGGACCGGUACUGACGCUGAGGCACGAAAGCGUGGGGAUCAAACAGG